AUUGAACGCUGGCGGCAUGCCUUACACAUGCAAGUCGAACGGCAGCACGGGAGCAAUCCUGGUGGCGAGUGGCGAACGGGUGAGUAACAUAUCGGAACGUGCCCAGUAGUGGGGGAUAACCCGGCGAAAGCCGGACUAAUACCGCAUACGACCUACGGGUGAAAGCAGGGGAUCGCAAGACCUUGCGCUAUCGGAGCGGCCGAUAUCAGAUUAGCUUGUUGGUGGGGUAAAAGCCUACCAAGGCGACGAUCUGUAGCUGGUCUGAGAGGGUGUCCGGCCACACUGGGACUGAGAUACGGCCCAGACUCCUACGGGAGGCAGCAGUGGGGAAUAUUGCACAAUGGGCGCAAGCCUGAUGCAGCGACGCCGCGUGGGGGAUGACGGCCUCGGGUUGUAACCGUCUUUCUAGCAGGGACGAAGGGU
rnacentral:rRNA from 1 species